CAGGUUAANUUUNNNUUCNNNNUAAAAUUUAUAUACCUCCAUCUUAAGAAUCAAUUUCAAAAUAUUUCUCCAAAUAACUAAUAAAAAGUUAGGUCAAGGUGUAAUCCAUAUAAAAGAAUAAGAUGAAUUACAUUAAAAAUAAUUUAAAGAUUAUUAAUAAUUUAUUAAUACAAAUUUGAAUUUAAAAGUAAUACUAAAAUAAUAAUCUUAUAUGAUAAAGAUAAUAAAUGUGUACACAUCGCCC
rnacentral:rRNA from 1 species